CAUUGCGGUUUGUUUUACGAAACUUCAGUUUGUCUAUAGCUUUUUUAAUGAUUAGUUUUGCAAUGAAUAUGAGUAAAUGCCUAUAAAAAAACGUCCAAAGUGUAGUUAUGUUGCCACGGGUCGCAGGAAGGGUUGGAAUGGCAUGGGUUAAUGUGGAGGCAUAUAUAGUAUUUUGUGCACUAACCGGAAAUGAAACAUAGUUAUACAAUGACGCGUUGUUAACAUGCUGUGCGUGCUUCAUUUGGGAGAACAGUCCGUCAGUGCGUGAUGAACUUUUCCCUAAGGAUUUCCUACCUACCCUUUGUCCUUGUUAGAACCGCACCUACUGACCUGUAGCAUUCUAAAUUAUUAUUAUUCGAAUUAUCAAUAUUCAUGGUAAUCUCAAAGAAGGCACACCUGUUACACCGAAAGCAACAAGCUGGUUAAAUAAUUUCGGGUUUUCUUAUAAGUUACUGUUACCGAUUGAUGCGUGCUUGUUGUUAGAGCUCUGUAUUUAAAAUGCUUUACAUAUAAUUUAAACUUGUACACAUUCCUUUCUAUUAUGUCAGAAAUAACAUAAGAAACCACUUCCCACACUAAACCGACAUAGAGCGAGGGUUUCAACCGCGUAUGUCCUAAUUCAUUAGAAUAAGGUGGGCAUAUCCUUCCCUCACGGAAAAUUGGCGUCCUGUAUUAAUCGUCCAUGGUAAUUUGCAAUACUGUAUCUCAAGAAAACGAAAUUCUGUAUGUCGCAUCCCACAAUUCGCAAUCAUCGCCCUCCAGUGUUUGAGUGCAGUUUCUUCCGGAGUACCUCAAGGUAGUGUACUUGGGCCAGUACUUUGUACACUCUACGCAGCUGGCAAACCCACCACCAAGCUAACAACUACAGCUACGUUUGCUGAUGAUACGGCCAUACUAGCAUCAAAUACCAACUCGGAUAUUGCAUCUGCGAACCUGCAGAAUAGCCUCAAAUUGAUCGAGGACUGGAUAAGGAAAUGGAAAAUCCAAGUUAACAAUUCCAAGUCUACACGCAUCACGUUUACCAUGAAAAGAGGGGCAUGUGCAGCUGUAACAUUUAAUGGCACCCUAAUUUAUUUAUUUAUUUAUUUGUUUAACCAAACACCAUAUAGAAUA